UUAAAAAGCUCGUAGUUGGAUUUCUGUUGAGGGCGACCGGUACGAAUUUCGUUCGUUAUCUGGCUCGGUCUUGGCAUCCUCUUGGGGAACGGUUCCAUGCUUAAUUGCAUGGAUCGGGAUUCAAGACUUUUACUUUGAGGAAAUUAGAGUGUUCACGGCAAGCAAGUGCUUUGAAUACAUUAGCAUGGAAUAAUAAUAUAGGACCUUUGUUCUAUUUUGUUGGUUUCUAGAACUAAGGUAAUGAUUAAUAGGGACAAUUGGGGGCAUUCGUAUUAACGCGUCAGAGGUGGAAUUCUUGGAUUGCGUUACGACGAACUACUGCGAAAGCAUUUGCCAAGGAUGUUUUCAUUGAUCAAGAACGAAAGUAUGGGGAUCGAAGACGAUUAGAUACCGUCGUAGUCUAUACCAUAAACUAUGCCAACUAGAGAUUGGAGGUCGUUCUUUUUAUGACUCCUUCAGCAUCUUAUGAGAAAUCAAAGUCUUUGGGUUCCGGGGGGAGUAUGGUCGCAAGGCUGAAACUUAAAGGAAUUGACGGAAGGGCACCACCAGGAGUGGAGCCUGCGGCUUAAUUUGACUCAACACGGGAAAACU
rnacentral:rRNA from 1 species